CUUUGGACCUUGAGUGUGACGCGAUCGGGUGGGGGAGGCGGUCGUGCUGGGGGCGGCGUGACACGGCUCGGGCCCGCCAGUGCCCCAACGGGGCCCUAGUUCUUCUUUUUCCUCCCCUUUGAACUGGAAAAUGGCCCACUUCCCACUGGCGAAAACUCAUGAAAUUUGGCAGGACGACCGGGCCUGGUGAAAAAUUUUAUAUUCUGAAGUCGCCCAAACAAUAAAAUGCAAAAUGGCUCCAUAGCGCCCCCUAAGGUGGAAAUUCACACUAUUGACUGUCACGCCUGUACGCUUUGUCAUAUUGACACAAAAAUUGACACACAUAUGUAUCUCAAUAAGAUCUACAAAAAAGUCAGUGCGGCCGUAUCUGUCAAAAUUACGGUUAAAGGGUUAUUUCGCAUUUUUUGCCGAUCCGCACACAUUGGAAUUUCGCUAACUCCUCCGAAGGCUUUCGUUCCACCGGCACCACAUUUGCUCAGGCCAAUCUACACCCCGUGGCCAUUAAAAGUUAUCAAAAUCAUGACGCUGCACCCCAAGGUUUAGGUUCUAGGGGGCGCCAAAGAUAACACUAAAAUCCACAUAUUUAGAAGUCUUAUAACUUUUUAUUUUUGCCCUCACUGGCCUCCAAGUUUUCUAGGAUGAUGCAAUGUCCAGCCAUCAACACAUUUGUGAAGGAAUUUUUACUCCCCAAAAGAGCACCCCCCCAUGGCAGGAGAAAAAAGUCCAUUUUUUCUUGUCCCCUAAGGUGAAAAUACACAUUGUUGAGUGUCACGCCUAUACGCUUUGUCAAAAUGACACAAAAAUUGACACACACAUGUAACUCAAUAAGAUCUACGAAAAAGUCAAUGCGUGCGUAUCUGUCAAAUGUACGGUUAAAGGGUUAUUCCGCAUUUUUUGCCGAUCCGCACACAUUGGAAUGUGGCUAACUCCUCCUAAGGCUUUCGUUCCACCGGCACCACAUUUGCUCAGGCCAAUCUACACCCCAUGGCCAUUAAAAGUUAUUCAAAUCAUGACGCUGCACCCCACGGUUUAGGUUCUAGGGGGCGCCAAAGAUAACCCUAAAAUCCACAUAUUUAAAAGUCUUAUAAAUUUUUAUUUUUGUCCUCACUGGCCUCCAAGUUUUCUAGGAUGAUGCAAUGUCCAGCCAUCAACACAUUUGUGAAGGAAUUUUUACUCCCCAAAAGACAGCCCCCCAUGGCAGGAGAAAAAAGUCCAUUUUUUCUUGUCCCCUAAGGUGAAAAUACAUAUUGUUGAGAUUCACACCUAUACGCUUUGUCAUAUUGACACAAAAUUUGACAAUCACGUGCCUUGCCUGGUAUCAUUUUUUUCAGCACAACCUCACCUGUGCGAAUUUACAGUUAUUUUAUCAUGUUGACAUACUGAAUUUACACAAUGGACCCAAAUUCACACACAAAACAUAAAAUCCGAGUGGAAAAAAGUAAAAUUUUUACUGUGAAAACCACAAAUAUGUGUGAUGAACUGUUUUUAAAACUUAAACUUCAAAUAAAAAUUGUAAACUUCAAAACAUAUGCAAAUUUUUAACAAAGAACAUAGUGAUUUACCUCUAUUUACAUCAAAAUGCAGGCAAUGGCCCAGGCGUUCUUUGUAAAAUUAUUUACAAAACACUGUAUAGUCUCACAAAUGUCACUUUUUAUUUAUGCCACUACAAAAAAACAUGAUGUAAAUGAUGCAUGAUGUAAAACAUGAUGUAAAAAACUUGUGUAGAUCCUCCUCUAUGUCAGUCCAUGUGUAAUUUUUCCAUAAUUCUUUGUUUUUUGCAGCAUUUUUGUUAGUGUAACUGCAGAUUGUGCUGACAGUGUCUAUGGCACAAAAAAAAUAAUAAAUUAAAAUGCCUCAACAUGAACCCCUGGUGGUCUCUGAGGGUGAAACCUGCUAACUGCUGCAGCUCUGUCAGCUUCAGUCUCCCAUGCAGAGCUCUGAGCGCAUGUGUGGCUCUGCACCCUUAGCAGCGUUGCUAACUCCUCAGUAAGGAAAGCCUGCUUCAUGUCAGAGUCUCUAAACUCCAGAAGAAGUCGAUAAAAGUCCCUUUCUUUCUAAAAAAAGUCGUUAGGGGGUCUGAAAAGUCAUUGAAUCUAACAACAAAGUCGCUAGGUUUGCAACUACGUGUCCCAGACUGCAUCCCU
rnacentral:lncRNA from 1 species